rnacentral:tRNA from 1 species
UCCCUAGUGGCUCAGUGGUAAAGCAUCUGCCUGCAAUGCAGGAGACCUGGGUUCUAUCCCUGAGCUGGGAA